UCUCCAAGCUGGCGCCUCUUUGGGGAGGUGUUUGUGACCUCAUAGACCAUAGAGAGCUGCGGAUGAAGUGAGAAGCUCAGAAUCAGGACACAGUGGUCUUGGCAAUAUUCUCUGAAAAGGGAACAAACUCGAGCAUUUCCAAGGAGUAUGCAUAGGAGCUGUAGGUUUCUGUGCACAGGACUGAUCCGAAAGCCUACGGGACAUUAGAAAUGGUUUCUGUUAUCUGUGGGCCAUACACUUGAAUUACUGCAGGCCACACAGCAUAGAGACAUGGACUGGGAGAAGAUAAGGAUCCCUUCACCCUGUUGGGGAAAACUCCUCCACUUCCACACAGAUCUGCAGGAGAACAUCUACGUCACCUUGAGCCAGCUCCAAAUGUAAUGGAUAUGGAAGGAGCAUACAGGAGUCUGGAUGUGACAUCUCUAGUGCCCAGCAUAUCAAAUGCCCACCCAGCUUUCUGCUGACAGUGGAUGAGAGCUGCCGGAUAGCAAGGAACCAGGUGACGUGCAAGAAAGAAGAAAAAGAAGGAGCCAAGAUGGUGGAAUUAGGGAUUCACACCCAGUCUGGUCUGUCUUCCAGUUCAGACAUGAUGAGUUCUCUUAACAUUUCCUAUUAUUUACUGAAAUUAGCAUGCUUGUCUAGGUGCCUAGCCGGCUUGCAGAGUUUGCUUGAGAUAAGUCAGGCUGUGCUGACAUGGCAGCAAACUGAAAUACAGGGAAAUACCCUGGGAUAUGUGGUGGGACUCAACUCUGAGUGGGGCUCCUCUCAUGUACACGGAGAACUGAACACAGCCAAACUUAGAUGGUAGCCUACUUAAUAUCUUUAAAUAAAACAAUGCCCACAUGCGAUGAUGUGGGAAGGAAGGCGUAAUGACUGAAAGGAA